UGCCUCUUUAAAACCAAAGGUAAAAUAAUUUGUUCUAGAUGAGAUUAGGAGAACUAGGACAGGUUAAAGCAAGGCAGAAACCUGCAAGUUAACAUGUAACUUCAAAGUCAGAGCCCUCAUCAAUAGUAAGUAGCACAUACCCUAGAGAAGAUGAUCCCUGGAUGGACUUGUCAGACCGUGUUCCAGUCUAACACUGAGAGGACAUGCAGUCACCCUUUUGCUUUGUUGCUAAGUUUCAGGACUGCUGUGGCAUUCACUGAAAUAGUGGACAAGAAAGUAUGUUGAAAUGGCUAAAAGGGUAUAAAAAGGGUACGAAUGAACAACAGGAAAAUGGAGGAGAAAAGGACGAGGAAUAACAGGAGGAGAAGGGAAAUCUCCCCCAGUAGAACUGAUCACAACCUGAAAUGAGCUCACAGCCUGCCUUCACCUAUUGGAAUGUAAAGUGCAAGAGGGCAGAGCCUUGUCUGUCCUAUUUAUUGCUAUAUCCCCAGUGCCUGAUGCAAAGCACAAUAAAGAUUGAAUGAACGAA